UCCUAUGAGAGCAUGCUGUCGCCAGUCCGACCGGACACAUUUGCAUCUAACAUGGAUAGGAAAAGCUUAUCGACGUUUAUAUUUUUGAGUUGUUAUAAUGAUACUUGACGGAAGUCUGCAGGAAAAAAAAAAAGACUCCCAAUUUGAUCGCAUCAUGGUGCAUUUUUGGAGCGGUGACUAGGCCUCAUCUGCGUGGAAAUAUGGACCGGUGGUGAACUUGGAUCCAUGCGGUGGUUUUGAGGUGAUUGGACAUCCACACGUGGCCGGAGGAGGGUGGCGUGCUUUCGGAUGGAGGCCCUCCAUGACUCUAUGACGGAAAAUGGGGUUUGGUGUGGAUGAAUCCCUGCAGUAGCAACAUGCUAUCUGACCCUCAAUAAGUGGACAAGCUUCUGUAAACUACAAGGUGACACCAGAACUCAAAAAUGAACAUGCGUUUUUUUUUUUUGUUUUUUUUUUUUAAACUGAGACUUAAAAAUAUGUUUAACUGUUGGAGCACAAGUUCCCGUUUUGAAUAAAACAUUUAUCAAAAAGCAGUCUUGUCAUUUGUUUCAUUUCAUAUUUUGUAAAUUGAUUUUAGGCACUACCUUCAACCCGAGUGGCCUUUUCCUUGGCCAUUCACACAGGUGAGGAGCAGUGCUAGAGCAUGUCAUGUCCUGUUAUAACUGGGGUUUCUUGGCAAUUUUCCCAGGUCUCUCUUUUAACGCAGGACAGACUCUUCAGAGAGAACUUUUAAGUGCAAAAAAAUGCAUAGAUAUAUGAAAUAAGAAAGUUGAAGGAUUUGGUUGUUUUUUUUUGUUUUUUUUUAAAUAAAUGUGCAGCUGACAAGUUGUUAGUCCCUGUUGACUUUCAUUAUGACUAUAUGAUGUAUAGCGUGAUGGGAUAAGGGGGUUUUAAUAACUGCAUGCAUGUGAAAGUGACAAAUCUAGCUAUUUAUUGGCCAAUAUUUAACAAGGGCUGCAACAAUAAGUACAUUUAUAUUUAGCUCGCAACUAUUUUGAUAAAUUCAGAAUUUUUGUCUAAGCUUUUCUAAUGUGAUAAAUUGCUGCUUCUGUUAAGUUAAACCAUGUAGAUUUUUACACCAAUAAAAUGAUUUGAUUAAAAAA